GACGGAGGAUGCAAGCGUUAUCCGGAAUGAUUGGGCGUAAAGCGUCCGCAGGUGGCAGUUCAAGUCUGCUGUCAAAGACCGGGGCUUAACUUCGGAAAGGCAGUGGAAACUGAACAGCUAGAGUAUGGUAGGGGCAGACGGAAUUCUUGGUGUAGCGGUAAAAUGCGUUGAUAUCAAGAAGAACACCAGUGGCGAAGGCGGUCUGCUGGGCCAGUACUGACGCUGAGGUACGAAAGCGUGGGGAGCGAACAGG
rnacentral:rRNA from 1 species